UGGCUCAAUGGUAGAGCGUUUGACUCAAUUAUCAAAGGUCCUGGGUUCAAAUCCCAG
rnacentral:tRNA from 1 species